rnacentral:rRNA from 1 species
UACAGAGGUCCCAAGCGUUGUUCGGAUUCACUGGGCGUAAAGAGCUCGUAGGUGGUUUGUCGCGUUGUUCGUGAAAACCGGGGGCUUAACCUUCGGCGUGCGGGCGAUACGGGCAGACUGGAGUACUGCAGGGGAGACUGGAAUUCCUGGUGUAGCGGUGGAAUGCGUAGAGAUCGGGAAGAACACCAGUGGCGAAGGCGACGUGCUGGGUUGCAACUGACGCUGAGAUGCGAAAGUGUGGGGAGCAAACGGG